GGGAUACAGCAUCUGUACUGAUUGUCUUAUACGGCAGUUAUUUGGGCACAACGUGUGCAUAUUAUAGAGAUUUUAAAGACAGUUUUAUUGUUCUAGGCAAAAGAGGAAUAGAGUGAUCGAUUUCAUUAGGUCACCCGGAGGCAGUACAGAGGAAGAUGCAGGGUAAACAAUGCACUGAUAGCUCUGCAGUGCAUCAGGAUAACAUCAGUAAAGAAAACACUAUGUGAGAAGAAAUAAAA